GGAACCCGCGCGGAGUCCCGGAGGCCGGCUCCCAGCACCUGCGUCGGGGCUGGGGGCCCCCUCGACAGCGGCUCCUUCCCCAAACCGCGAGUGUGAGGGUCUUGCUCACACCGUUCCCCCUCCACCAGAGCUCCUGGGGCGGGGGGGCGGGUGGGGUGGGGUGGUGGACUCCAAUCCACAGGCUGAACUGCACGGUUUAUUCCACCCCAAGGAAGAGUCUGAUGCUUGUUGUCCGCCCUGCGAAGCACGCUCACAUGUCCUGCGCAGUUUGAUCUUGCCUGUGUGCGGGAGCUGAUUAACAUGGAAGUGUUGGUGAUUGACAUGAAGUGUUGGUGAUUGACAUGGACGUGUCGGUGAUUGACAUGAAAGUACUGGUGAUUUUCUGAGUUAUCAGUCCCCGUAUGCCGUUUGGAUCUUAAUCUUGGGGACCAGGCUGCUUUAAUCAAAUGCAGGAUCUCGGCACUUACAGAGUAAAAGAGAGAGGAGAGAAAAUUCAAGGAGAUCCAGGGUUAUCAUUAUCAUAAAAAAAUAAAAAGUUUAAAGUUUGGAGUAAUCGGGAGUGAUGGAAGAAGGAGGAGGCAGCAGUGAAUCACUUAUAAAUAACUUUGAAGCAGGACCCGGAGCCUAAAUUCCAGGAGGAUAAUGGUCAUCCACAGCCAAGAAGGAAAGACCUGAGACAUGGAAUCAGCGAUUGCAGCCCUUCAAUGUGAGUCAGCAGGCCCCAAGAAAGGAGAAUGCCUGCCACCUGGCCUUUAUUUGUCUGCAGCCACUCCAGCCGCUCCCUGUGGUUUGAGAAUCAAGCUGGCUGGUUCUGAGACUUGCCAGGUCUUGCUUCUUUUGAUGGAGUGCUU
rnacentral:lncRNA from 1 species